GACGAACGCUGGCGGCGUGCUUAACACAUGCAAGUCGAACGAAGAGCGAUGGAAGCUUGCUUCUAUCAAUCUUAGUGGCGAACGGGUGAGUAACGCGUAAUCAACCUGCCCUUCAGAGGGGGACAACAGUUGGAAACGACUGCUAAUACCGCAUACGAUCUAAUCUCGACAUCGAGGAUAGAUGAAAGGUGGCCUCUACAUGUAAGCUAUCACUGAAGGAGGGGAUUGCGUCUGAUUAGCUAGUUGGAGGGGUAACGGCCCACCAAGGCGAUGAUCAGUAGCCGGUCUGAGAGGAUGAACGGCCACAUUGGGACUGAGACACGGCCCAGACUCCUACGGGAGGCAGCAGUGGGGAAUCUUCCGCAAUGGACGAAAGUCUGACGGAGCAACGCCGCGUGAGUGAUGACGGCCUUCGGGUUGUAAAGCUCUGUUAAUCGGGACGAAAGGCCUUCUUGCGAAUAGUGAGAAGGAUUGACGGUACCGGAAUAGAAAGCCACGGCUAACUACGUG
rnacentral:rRNA from 1 species